UACGUAGGGGGCAAGCGUUGUCCGGAUUUAUUGGGCGUAAAGAGCGUGUAGGCGGCCAGGUAGGUCCGCUGUGAAAACUCGAGGCUCAACCUCGAGAUGUCGGCGGAAACCAUCUGGCUAGAGUCCGGAAGAGGAGAGUGGAAUUCCUGGUGUAGCGGUGAAAUGCGCAGAUAUCAGGAAGAACACCCGUGGCGAAGGCGGCUCUCUGGGGACGGUACUGACGCUGAGACGCGAA
rnacentral:rRNA from 1 species